UACGAAGGGGGCUAGCGUUGCUCGGAAUCACUGGGCGUAAAGCGCACGUAGGCGGAUUGCUAAGUCAGGGGUGAAAUCCUGGAGCUCAACUCCAGAACUGCCUUUGAUACUGGCGACCUUGAGUCCGGGAGAGGUGAGUGGAGCUGCGAGUGUAGAGGUGAAAUUCGUAGAUAUUCGCAAGAACACCAGUGGCGAAGGCGGCUCACUGGCCCGGUACUGACGCUGAGGCGCGAAAGCGUGGGGAGCAAACAGG
rnacentral:rRNA from 1 species